UGGGGAAUUUUCCGCAAUGGGCGAAAGCCUGACGGAGCAAUGCCGCGUGGAGGUGGAAGGCCUACGGGUCGUCGACUUCUUUUCUCGGAGAAGAAACAAUGACGGUAUCUGAGGAAUAAGCAUCGGCUAACUCUGUGCCAG
rnacentral:rRNA from 1 species